CAACGAAGGUCAGUCUUGAAAAGCAACUUGCAAGGAAAGGAGGACCUCUCGAGUGACUCCGAUUCUGGACGGAAAGCAAAACCUCGACCAAGAACGGCGGAGGAAUAUCUUGUCUUGGGCGAUCUUCGUGGAGAGAGAAAAUCGCCGGGAAAUAUACGUACGGAAAAUCGGCGGAGUAUUGCUAGCUAGUCGGAUCUCAACUCUGACGUCAGAAAAAAGAAGCACACAACACACUCCAGUGACCAUGAAUAAAAUCCUCCUUCUGACAUUGCUAUUGGCGGUUCUUAUGGGCGUGUCUUCGGCGAUGCCUCAAUUGAUCAUCACUCAGAGACGGAGGUUCCCGGGAGAAAGGCGGUUGGGAACGAUUAACUACGGACAGUACCGCUACGGCAAGCAUGGGUACCAGAGGAAGUGUCACCCAAGAAAAAGAAAGUGCUACAGCUUCUUUUCAUGAAGGCCUAAACUGAAGUGUUUAAGAAUGCAAAGAGCGUAGUCCGGCGCUGGUGUUGCCACGGCCCUUGGGUACGAAUUGCAGAAUGCUUGCAGUCAUGAUCUGGGUGGAGAUACCAUCAGGCAAAGAGAGUCAUUGCUUGCCAAGUGUAUUGCAACUUCUGGAAGCUAAACUCUGCUAAGAAUAGUGGCAGCGUCGCACCCUUGAAGAUCUGUUGUUAACCUAAAGGACUUAUUAGGGCUCUAGGUUAAGGGGCAGCGUAUGUAGACUUUAGGGAAGAGUGUGUACACUUUAAGGACAGCGUAUGUAGACUGAUUUAUAUUAAAUCAUGAAUGUGCAUCAGUGUAUCUGGUUGGCACUUACGAAUACUGUGUAUAUUUUGUUUCUCUUUGUUAAAUAUAGUUGUUGUAGUAACGUUGUUUUUCAAUAUUUGUACUUCAUUUGGUGAUUAUUAUGUCACUGAUUUUAUAUUGUUAGUAAUAUAAUGAUUUUUAAAUAGAA
rnacentral:lncRNA from 1 species